AUACGGGGGGGACAAGCGUUGUUCGGAUUCACUGGGCGUAAAGGGCGCGUAGGCGGACCCUCAAGUCGGAUGUGAAAACCCCGGGCUUAACUCGGGGCCUGCAUUCGAUACUGUUGGUCUUGAGUACACUAGAGGAGAGCGGAAUUCCAGGUGUAGCGGUGAAAUGCGUAGAUAUCUGGAAGAACACCAGUAGCGAAGGCGGCUCUCUGGACUGAUACUGACGCUAAAGCGCGAAGGCUUGGGUAGCAAACAGAAUUAGAAACCCCAGUAGUCC
rnacentral:rRNA from 1 species